rnacentral:misc_RNA from 1 species
GUUUUUUUUCAUAUUUCAAUGUUUGGACAUUCAGGAAUACGCCCUUAAAAGGAUUUUUCAAAAUUUCAAUUAUUUUAUGAGUUACAGCCAUUUUUGUGACGCGGCAUCUGCUCCGGUCCAACCGGAACAAGUGAACAAUAGAUGGUAGACGCUGCCCGGGUACCUACGUAUGAAUACCCUCAUAAAACCUUUAUUGUAUUGUAUCCCUUUUUAAUGUAUUUUUAAUUCAAUAAUUCAAUACGAACGAUGUUUGGGUUCUGAUACCCAAAAUAAUAACGAAUCGUUAAAUUCGUUAAUAUGGACUUUUGCUCCGAAGCACAUCCACGCAGGAACGCAGACAAUUCAAAUUUCCACUUUCCUCGCAUUUCAGAGGCAUCAAAGGAAGCCAGGACUGCUCGUCUCCAUAAAAGAACCUCGAAGAAUGAGCAUUUUGAAGUAGAGGAAGGUUUCAUGUAUAGAGCAGGUAUCGCUGAUUAAAAAUGUGUAAAUAUGCUGUACCAUUCUAUGAGUAAAAUUGCCGGAAACUUGUCUCAAAGCCAACCUCUGCCUCAAUCUUACUAAAAACAAAGAAAGAUAUCGAAACAGCCACAGAAUACUUAAACACGAGCAUAAUAAACGCUAUCCGCUCCUCAACACCUACUAAGACUACUAUGAACAAACACGAAUAUCCCCAUUAUAUAUUAAACAAAAUCACAGAAAAACGAAGACCAAGAAGAGUAUGGCAAACCCAUAGAACACCGGAUGACAAAUGCAAACUAAACAACGCAACCAGGAAGUUAACCAAAAUCAUUAAAAAAAUACAAAAAUGACUGUUUCCAAAAGUACCUCGUCAAUUUGUCCCCCUCUGCCGACUCCAACUA